GAUGAACGCUGGCGGCGUGCCUAAUACAUGCAAGUCGAGCGAAGGGACGAGAAGCGUGCGUCUCUGAUGUUAGCGGCGGACGGGUGAGGAACACGUGGAUAACCGACGUAUAAGACUGGGAUAAGUUCGGGAAACCGGAGCUAAUACCGGAUAAUAUUUUGAACCGCAGGGUUCAAAAGUGAAAGACGGUCUUGCUGUCACUUAUAGAUGGAUCCGCGCUGCAUUAGCUAGUUGGUAAGGUAACGGCUUACCAAGGCAACGAUGCAUAGCCGACCUGAGAGGUUGAUGCGCCACACUGGAACUGAGACACGCUCCCGACUCCUACGGGAGGCACCAGUCGGGCAUCUUCCGCAAUGGGCGAAAGCCUGACGGACACACGCCGCGUGAGUGAUGAAGAUCUUCGGAUCGUAAACCACUGUUAUUAGGGAAGAACAUAUGUGUAAGUAACUGUGCACAUCUUGACGGUACCUAAUCAGAAAGCCACGGCUAACUACGUG
rnacentral:rRNA from 1 species